UCUAGCCCUUUUUGCCAUGUGAGGAAACCAUAAGAGGUCUGCGACCUGGAAGAGGGUCUUCACCUGACCAUGCUGGCAUCCUGAUCUUGGACUUCCAGUCCCCAGAAAUGGCUUCCUCUGUUUGUGUGAUACAGCACUGGUCUUCAGUCACCCAGUCCUGUGAAGCCUUGGUGUAACCCUGGAGGAUUGAUGCCUGUUUGGAUCAAGCCUGGGAGCUACCUUCUGCAGACCUAAUUCUUUUAUCUGUGAGUUGUCACAGGAAAAGGAACUGUUUAAACUUGAGAUCUAGUCACUGGUUUGCUCUGUUGUUUUGAAGACGACUAAGGGGACACAGGUUCCAGCCCUGGUCAGGGAAGAUCCCAC